AGAGUUUGAUCCUGGCUCAGGAUGAACGCUAGCGACAGGCUUAACACAUGCAAGUCGAGGGGCAGCGGGGAGUAGCAAUACUUGGGUGGCGACCGGCGCACGGGUGAGUAACGCGUAUGCAACUUACCUAUCAGAGGGGGAUAGCCCGGCGAAAGUCGGAUUAAUACCCCAUGAAACAGGGGUCCCGCAUGGGAAUAUUUGUUAAAGAUUCAUCGCUGAUAGAUAGGCAUGCGUUCCAUUAGGCAGUUGGCGGGGUAACGGCCCACCAAACCGACGAUGGAUAGGGGUUCUGAGAGGAAGGUCCCCCACAUUGGUACUGAGACACGGACCAAACUCCUACGGGAGGCAGCAGUGAGGAAUAUUGGUCAAUGGCCGAGAGGCUGAACCAGCCAAGUCGCGUGAAGGAAGAAGGAUCUAUGGUUUGUAAACUUCUUUUAUAGGGGAAUAAAGUGGAGGACGUGUCCUUUUUUGUAUGUACCCUAUGAAUAAGCAUCGGCUAACUCCGUGCCAGCAGCCGCGGUAAUACGGAGGAUGCGAGCGUUAUCCGGAUUUAUUGGGUUUAAAGGGUGCGUAGGUGGUGAUUUAAGUCAGCGGUGAAAGUUUGUGGCUCAACCAUAAAAUUGCCGUUGAAACUGGGUUACUUGAGUGUGUUUGAGGUAGGCGGAAUGCGUGGUGUAGCGGUGAAAUGCAUAGAUAUCACGCAGAACUCCGAUUGCGAAGGCAGCUUACUAAACCAUAACUGACACUGAAGCACGAAAGCGUGGGGAUCAAACAGGAUUAGAUACCCUGGUAGUCCACGCAGUAAACGAUGAUUACUAGGAGUUUGCGAUACAAUGUAAGCUCUACAGCGAAAGCGUUAAGUAAUCCACCUGGGGAGUACGCCGGCAACGGUGAAACUCAAAGGAAUUGACGGGGGCCC
rnacentral:rRNA from 1 species